ACAGCAUAUACAUUUUCAAUAAAAACUGGAUCAGUCGUAAAUAUGGUUCAGCCUAUAGUGGAUGCAAAUCUUUGAAUCGCAUACGUGAUGAUGUAACAUGACACGGAAAACCACAGAUAACUGAAUUAGUCUACACACAUCUGUUCCUGUUUGAAUAACAUUUUAUCUAAAAUCUUCGUUGAAUCUAAAAUAGUCUUCGUUGGUGACUUUACAAUAGUAAUAUUAGGCUGGGAUUACACUAUACCGGAUUGAUUUUCAUACCGGAUCAAUUUUCACACCGAAGCCAAAAUCAAGGGUGUUUAAUUUAAUACACUAUGCCGCUUCGCUCUGUCGCCAGCUCGUAUCUUUUAUCGUUGCCACGGAAACAAAGAAUAAGUUUUGACCAUUUUGGACAUUUUCUCAACAGUACUUGUGAAUUAUAACUUUGUUUACAAAGCUUGACCACCCGACGUUGCUUUGUCUCGCUCUUAUCGAA